UACGUAGGGUGCAAGCGUUAAUCGGAAUUACUGGGCGUAAAGCGUGCGCAGGCGGUUGUGCAAGACAGAUGUGAAAUCCCCGGGCUCAACCUGGGAAUUGCAUUUGUGACUGCACGGCUAGAGUGUGUCAGGGAGGGGGUAGUAUCACGUGUAGCAGUGAAAUGCGUAGAGAUGUGGAGGAAUACCGAUGGCGAAGGCAGCCCCCUGGGAUAACACUGACGCUCAUGCACGAAAGCGUGGGGAGCAAACAGG
rnacentral:rRNA from 1 species